rnacentral:rRNA from 1 species
GAUGAACGCUGGCGGCGUGCCUAAUACAUGCAAGUCGAGCGAACAGACGAGGAGCUUGCUCCUCUGACGUUAGCGGCGGACGGGUGAGUAACACGUGGAUAACCUACCUAUAAGACUGGGAUAACUUCGGGAAACCGGAGCUAAUACCGGAUAAUAUAUUUAACCGCAUGGUUCAAUAGUGAAAGACGGUUUUGCUGUCACUUAUAGAUGGAUCCGCGCCGCAUUAGCUAGUUGGUAAGGUAACGGCUUACCAAGGCAACGAUGCGUAGCCGACCUGAGAGGGUGAUCGGCCACACUGGAACUGAGACACGGUCCAGAAUCCUACGGGAGGCAGCAGUAGGGAAUCUUCCGCAAUGGGCGAAAGCCUGACGGAGCAACGCCGCGUGAGUGAUGAAGGUCUUCGGAUCGUAAAACUCUGUUAUUAGGGAAGAACAAAUGUGUAAGUAACUAUGCACGUCUUGACGGUACCUAAUCAGAAAGCCACGGCUAACUACGU